CGGGGACGUGGUCCACGGCACGGACCCGGCGCUGCAGACGCUGGGCCGGGCCUGUCUGAGGUCCCGGCUGGCCGCCUCGGACGAUCCCCGG
rnacentral:tRNA from 1 species